UAAAGGACAAAUACUAAAGUCUCAUUAAUAUUGGUGAAUCAGAUUACAGUAUCUUCCCACAUACAAAAGUGAAGAACACUAGUUAGGACCACUAAUUCACCACAGCAACAUUUUUUCCUCAAUUUUACAGUCACCCAACUGAACUCCAACUAUACAUACACAACACACUACACCUAAAAGAAUACAUACUACACAUCACAAGUGGUAGGGAGGGAAACUAACGACAAAAUAAUAGGACCAAGAGAAUUUAUGUUCUCCAGAAGAAGGGCAGUCACAGCAAGACAGUGUAGCCACCGCUUGCAGUUUGCUGUUUUCUCUCUGCAAGGCCGAGAAAGCUCCUCAACUACCCCAGCACAAAUUUUUCAAAUUCUCCGGCAGCUGCAGGUGACUUUUGCCAAUUCUAUGGUAGCCCGAUCUCUCUCUCCACCUAAAUUAAUACCAUCUCCUAUGACAACUUCAAUUCCACUGGCAUCCAUUUCAUGAUAACGGGGGUCAUGCAAUAACUCCUGAACAAAUCCACUAGCUACUUUUUUGUUUGAAGCAUCAGUUAAGUCAAGCAUAUUACCAAGAAGUAGCAAUUGUCGAGACGCAAAACGAUAAUUUGGUCCUGUAAAAAUUAGGUGGUAUUGUUCACGGUUGAGUGCGGUGCUCUGCCUAAAGGUGCCGAGUCCAAAAUAUCAAAAGGUGCUAACUUUUUCGAAGUCCAGACAACCCACAUUCGCAGGUCAGGAAUUCAACUCCACAUCAGAACAACCCACAUUUGCAGGUCAGGAAUUCAAAUGGUGGUGCUCUGCGUGCUGACUUUUUCAACUCAGCACCUUUCUGGUCUUCAAACUCGGCUUCAAAGUGAAAAUGAAAGAAGUUUUAGACGUUCAAAUUUUCGCCGCCGAUGGAAUCUGGACAUCGAACUCGAUUUUCGCCUUCAAGGGUUUCCGUUGUUGGAGAGAUUUGGGGAAAAUCUAUUUGAGAGGAGGGUCCAAAUUUCGGGGAAUUUUGAAAUGAGGGUUCCCGUCUAUUAUUAAAUAAUUGGGCCGGGUCUAGUUUUGACCCAACUUGUUUUAAAAAUUUGAAAUCCCCACCUCCAGUUCCUUGUUUCAAAAUUCACGAGAUUUUUAUUCAAGUUCUUGUCACCUCACCAUUAGGUACACCAUUAGGUAGUGGCUGAUGUACCACCAGCAUUAUUGAAAAAUUUUGGGGAAAAAUUUGACAAACCCAAAACCAAACCAUGGUUCCAGGGAUGGACCAGCAAUUAAAUUAUUGAAGCAACCAUCCCCUGCCAUAGACAAUCACGAGAGAACCUCUCCCCUCUCAUUGCUAACGCUGAAGUAGAACCCACCAACCCGACGAUCAAAACCCAGUCUCAGACUCCCUCCUGCCGGCGAUUCUACGAAUGGCAAGAAAAUGUUCACGAGAGGAACCUCCCACUACCUAACACUGCAUAAAGACCCAGUAGCCCACAAUUGAAAAACACGUCGCUGACUCCCUCCUGCCAUCGAUUCAACGAUUGGAAAGGAAAAAUCGCAAUCGGCAAAACUGCAAACGAUAAGAAAGGGAAAACAGCAAAGGAUUCAGCCUGCUCCUUCCUAUCGUCAUUUCUACUUGCUUCCACUCGUCCACAUUGAAGUCACCAAUUGCAAUUCAAACCUUAAUCUGAGUGAUAAGGUUAGUACAUUAACAAUUUUGAUUUAGUAAUUUUUCUUCCUGUCCAGCGACACCGGUUGACUAAUUAUGAUUUCGGCCUUUGUGAAUGAUGAAUGCAUGAAUUUAUGAAACUCAAAAUCUGUGAUUUGUGAUUUUUGAAUGGCUGAAUUCGUCUGCUUCUAUAAUCUGUUGGUUUUUUUAUUGUCUCUUGAAUUUGUGAUUUUCUCAAUAUGUGAUUUGUAAAUUUGCUUUGGAGAAUUAAUGUGUUUUGUGUUUUUGAUAUGUAAGAUUUAGUUUGGAACUUCAUCAAAAAUUCAAACAGAGGUGGUGAUUAUUAUUACAAGAUCAUGUAUUUUUACCUUCUUAAUGGUGAUUAUGUUCAGCCUUCCAAGUGAAAAUGUCUUUUGACUCGUAGAUAAAUUGGGCGUUACUUUAUGGUCUCUGCAUUAAGAAGAAGUAAAGGUAGUUUCACAAUCCUAUGUUAAUAAUGUACCUAACAUUUGCUUGUUUUUAUAGAGCCAAUGCUGUAAUGUGGAAGUUUCAUUGUUUAUCUUCUUAUCCUGCAUUUGCUUUGUAAUGUUGUUGUGAUAUUUUGUUGUCUAUCUAGCUCCUACUAUGUGGAGAUGACUGGCUGAUUUGGUCGGAUGAUUGUGAAUAUUUUACUUGCCAUAUAUUUUAAAUUAAAAAUUGACUUCUAUGACCAUGUUAUAUUUAACAUUUCAAAAAUAGUAAGCUAUAAGAUAAACAUAUAAACAAUUUCUAAUAUACUAAUCUAUCAAAAUGGAUGAUGAAUCCAAUAGUAAUGUCUUCUUGAUGAAAGAAUAAAGAAGAUGGUUAAGAGGUUAAGUUUUGUUAAUGAUAGAAGAAAUUGGUUUAUGAUUACUUUUCAAAAUCUUUUAUCUUUUUUUAAUUAACAAAAUUCAUAUUACCCAAUAUAAUAUAAGUAUAUCCAAUGUUUAAUGUAUACAAAUUAAAUCAUCAAGCCGUAACAUUAAUGGCAUUCAAAUCGAGCAUUAAAUGCUCCUAAAAACGUAUCAAUAAGGGUAAUUUGGACUUCUCACACAAAAAAGUGUAAUUUUUAGCACCAUUAAUAGAAAUGAAAACUUUUGGUAGACUUUUUUUAUUUUUUUAUUUUUUUUUAUGUAACAUUGGAUGAAUUUGGUCCUAACUUUUUCCUCUAGUCUACCCAAGUCAAUCUAUAAUCACUUUCUUCUUUACCACCUACGAUACAAACUAAAUAUUGUAUCCGUUAAACAUUUACAUCUUGAAGUAGCAAGUUGCAGGCACAAUUCACGCGGAGACUGUAGCAACUUACAGAUUUGUCUUUUGAGUCGAAUAACAGGUUAUCAAACAACCCCUUUGAUCUUAUACAUUGUGAUAUAUGGGGGACCUUACCAUGUGACCUCACAUUCUGGACACAAUUAUUUUCUAACCUUGGUAGAUGAUUGUUCUAGAUUUACAUGGAUAUAUCUGUUGAGGAAUAAAUCAGAUGCUAAGACCAUCAUUCCUAGAUUUUUCAGCAUGGUACAUACCCAAUUCAAUGCUAAUAUAAGAAUGCUCUGAUACCACAUCAGAUAUUUGAAUGAAGAAUCUUGUUUUAUUGAUUCUGAAAAUCUGGAGAAAAAUGAACAUACAAGUCUCUAUAAAUAGUGGCAAGUAUUGACGCCAAAAUGAAAAUGAGCUGGACUAACUAACUAACUAAACAGGUGCCAGCUGGUUAACUAAAAUUGAUCUAUGUACAGUACGUUUAUGUACAAUUCCUAAUAAAAACGCUGCGAUAAGCGGGUCCCAUUGACGGCUUCCCAUCCUUGGCUUGCUUAGCCGGCUCCACUUCUAUGAUAAACCUCUUAUCCGCCAUUUUCGAUCCUUCUGAUUUCCCCCUGUAACAAGAUAUACUUAAAUAUGUAAAAAUGCGUACGUAAUGUGAUGCUGAUUAGAUAGAUAGGAAUUUCUCACUAACGCGAAAUUAUCAAGUUUUAGUUUUGUGUACAGUGUAUAUUAGUUAUAAAGGGUGGCUAUGCAUAUGUGAUUGAAAACUUGCUGGCUAUAUGUCGCAACUGAAUUUAUUUUUGACAAUCGAAACUUAUUUUACUAACUCACAUAAUUUAUAUCCUGUUAGAAUCAAGCUAUCCAAUUAAAUUUUUUGAUUUGUUAAUUUAAAAGGAACAUGACUGAAAAACCUGUCGCUGACUUCCUCCUGCCAUCGAUUCAAGGAUUGGAAAGGAAAAAUCGCAAUCAGCAAAAUCGCAAAUGAUUGGAAAGGGAAAACAGCGAAGGAUUCAGCUUGCUCCCUCCUAUCGUCAUUGCUACUUGCUUCCUGUAGUCCACAGUCAAAUCGCCAAUUGCAGUUCAGACCCUAAUCUUAGUAAUAAGGUUAGUACAUUAACAAUUUUAAAUUUUUCUUCCUGACCAGCGACUCCGGUCGACUAAUUAUGAUUUCAGCCUUUGUGAACGGGGAAUGUAUGAAUUUAUGAAACUCAAAACCUGUGAUUUGUGAUUUUUGAAUGGUUGAAUUCGUCUGCUUCUAUAACCUGUUGGUUUUUUUGAGGCUUUCUUGAAUUUCUGAUUUUGUCAAUAUGUGAAUUGUAAAUUUGCUUUGGAGAAUUGAUAUGUUUUUUGUGUUUUUGAUAUGUAAGAUUUAGUUUGGGAACUUCAUCAAAAAUUCAAAAUAGAGGUGGUGAUUAUUAUUACAAGAUCAUGUAUUUUUACCUUCUUAAUGGUGAUUAUGUUCAGCCUUCCAAGUGAAAAUGUCUUUUGACUCGUAGAUAAAUUGGGCGUUACUUUAUGGUCUCUGCAUUAAGAAGUAAAGGUAGUUUCACAAUCCUAUGUUAAUAAUGUACCUAACAUUUGCUUGUUUUUAUAGAGCCAAUGCUGUAAUGUGGAAGAAGUUCAUUGUUAUCUUUUUAUCCAGCAUUUGCUUUGUAAUAUUGUGAUAUUUUUGUUGUCUAUCUGGCUCUUAUUAUGUGGAGAUGACUGGCUGAUUUGGUCGGAUGAUUGUGAAUAUUUUAC
rnacentral:lncRNA from 1 species